rnacentral:rRNA from 1 species
UACGUAGGGGGCAAGCGUUGUCCGGAAUCAUUGGGCGUAAAGCGCGUGUAGGCGGUCCGGUAAGUCGGUUGUGAAAGUCCAGGGCUCAACCCUGGGAUGCCGAUCGAUACUGCCGGACUAGAGUCCGGAAGAGGCGAGUGGAAUUCCCGGGUGUAGCGGUGAAAUGCGCAGAUAUCGGGAGGAACACCAAUGGCGAAGGCAGCUCGCUGGGACGGUACUGACGCUGA